GCAGCGGAUCCUACGGGAGGCAGCAAUGGGGAAUAUUGCACAAUGGGCGCAAGCCUGAUGCAGCCAUGCCGCGUGUAUGAAGAAGGCCUUCGGGUUGUAAAGUACUUUCAGCAGUGAGGAAGGUGGGUAUGUUAAUAGCAUACUCAUUUGACGUUAGCUGCAGAAGAAGCACCGGCUAACUCCGUGCCAGCAGCCGCGGUAAUACGGAGGGUGCGAGCGUUAAUCGGAAUUACUGGGCGUAAAGCGCAUGCAGGUGGUUUGUUAAGUCAGAUGUGAAAGCCCGGGGCUCAACCUCGGAAUUGCAUUUGAAACUGGCAAACUAGAGUACUGUAGAGGGGGUAGAAUUUCAGGUGUAGCGGUGAAAUGCGUAGAGAUCUGAAGGAAUACCGGUGGCGAAGGCGGCCCCCUGGACAGAUACUGACACUCAGAUGCGAAAGCGUGGGGAGCAAACAGGAUUAGAUACCCUGGUAG
rnacentral:rRNA from 1 species